AGGGUUGUAGCUCAGUGGUAGAGCACUUGCCUAGCAUUCAUGAGACCCUGGAUUCCAACCUCAGCACUGCUA
rnacentral:tRNA from 1 species